UCUGACGCGCCUGCGGCUGCGGCGGGGCUAUGGCGAGUGGCGGUGGUGGGGGUAACACCGGUGCAAGUGGGGGGCCGGGGAUGGGCCUAAGCCUAGGCCUGGGUCUGGGUCUGAGCCUAGGCAUAGGUGAGGCCACCGGCGAGGCAGAGGAGGCGGCGGCCACGGCCAAGGCGGUGGGACGCCUGGCCAGGACGCUGUGGCUGCAGCUCCGCAGUUGGGAGGCGGUGCUGGUGGCGGCACAGCAGCUGCUGGUGUGGGAGAAGCCGCUGCACAGCCUGGUCGCGGCUGCUGCACUUAACAGCCUCUUCUGGUUGCUGUCUUCCUCGUCCCUCCGGCCCUUCUUCCUACUCAGCAUCUCACUUUUGGCCUAUUUUCUGCUGGAUCUCUGGCAGCCUUGCUUUCUCCCUGAUGUUUCAGCAUCAUCCCCGGACGAGCCACACUCUGACAGUGAGGGUGUGGGGUCAGGCGCCCGAUCGCACCUGCUGAGUGUGCCCGAGUUGUGCAGAUACCUGGCUAAGAGCUGGCUCACUUUCCAGAUUCACCUACAGGAGCUGCUGCAGUACAAGAGGCAGAAUCCAGCUCAGUUCUGUGUUCGAGUCUGCUCUGGCUGUGCUGUGUUGGCUGUGCUUGGACACUAUGUUCCAGGGAUUAUGAUUUCCAACAUUGUCUUGUUGAGUAUCCUGCUGUGGCCCCUAGUGGUUUAUCAUGAGCUGAUCCAGAGGGUGUACACUCGCUUGGAGCCCCUGCUCAUGCAGCUGGACUACAGCAUGAAGGCAGAAGCCAGUGCCUUGCAUCACAAACAUGACAAGAGGAAGCGGCAGGGGAAGAAUGCACCCCCAGGAGGUGAUGAGCCACUGGCAGAGACAGAGAGUGAAAGCAUGGCAGAGCUGGCUGGCUUCUCCCCAGUGGUGGAUGUGAAGAAAACAGCAUUGGCUUUGGCCAUUACAGACUCAGAACUGUGAGAUGAGGAGGCUUCUAUCUUGGAGAGUGGUGGCUUCUCUGUAUCCCGGGCCACAACUCUGCAACUGACUGAUGUCUCUGAGGAUUUGGACCAGCAGAGCCUGCCAAGUGAGCCAGAGGAGACCCUAAGCCGGGACCUAGGAGAGGGAGAGGAGGCAGAGCUGGCCCCUCCUGAAGACCUACUGGGCCGUCCUCAAGCCCUGUCAAGGCAAGCCCUGGACUCCCAGGAAGAGGAAGAAGAUGCGGCAGCUAAGGAAACCUUGCUUUGGCUCUCAUCCCCCCUUCAACUUUGUGAACACGCACUUCAUUGGGGCAGGGUCCCCUUCAGAUGGAGUGAAAUGCACCCCUGGAGGACCGGUGGAGACACUGAGCCCCGAGACAGUGAGUGGUGACCUCACUGCUCUGCCCAGCACCCUGUCACCCCAACUUUGGCUUGCUGAAAGUGACCUGGCCCCCUCCCCCUCCAUUCUCCCACCUGUUUCCCAGGACUCACCUUAGCCCCUGCCUGCCCCUGAGAGGAAGAAGAGGCACUCACCACUGAGGACUCUGAGUUGCUGGAUCAGGCGGAGCUGGAACAGCUGAAUGCAGAGCUGGGCUUGGAGCCAGAGAUACCCCUAAAACCCCCUGAUGCUGCACCCCUGGGGCCUGACACCCAUUCUCUGGUACAGUCAGACCAAGAAGCUCGGGCCUUGGCAGAGCCAUGAGCCAUUCGGGAAGGAGCUGCAGGCACAGGAGGGCUUCCUGGCUAGGAGUGUUGCUGUUUCCUCCUUUGCCUACCACUCUGGGGAGGGGCAGUGCGUGGGGAAGCUGGCUGUUGGAUGGUAGCCAUUCCACCCUCUGCCUGCCUGCCUGCUGUCCUGGGCAUGGUGCAGUACCUGUGCCUAGGAUUGGUUUUAAAUUUGUAAAUAAUUUUCCAUUUGGGUUAGCAGAUGUGAACAGGGCUAGGGAAGUCCUUCCCACAGCCUGCGCUUGCCUCCCUGCCUAUCUCUAUUCUCAUUCCACUAUGCCCCAAGCCCUGGUGGUCUGGCCCUUUCUUUUUCCUCCUAUCCUCAGGGAUCUGUGCUGCUCUGCCCUUAUGUCCCACUUGGUUGUUUAGUUCAGGCACUUUAUAAUUUUUCUCUCCUGUCUUGCCUCUGCUUUAUUUCCUUGCUGUGUCCUGUCCUUAGCAGCUCAACCCCACCCUUUGCCAGCUCCUCCUAUCCCAUGGGCACUGGCCAAGCUUUAGGGAGGCUUCUGGUCUGGAAAGUAAAAAGUAAACCUGGGGCGGUGGGUCAGGCCAGUAGUUACACUCUUAGGUCACUGUAGUCUGUGUAACCUUCACUGCUCCUUGCCCCAUUCAGCCUGGCCUUUCAUGAUGCAGGAGAGCAGGGAUCCCACAGCACAUGCGCCAGCGCUGGAGUUGGUGAGCAUGCGCUCUGUGUCUUGAGAUGAGGGGCUUCCUUACAGCUCCUCUGGGUGGUCCAAGUAUAGUGGGACCCCCUACUAGGGUCAGGAAGUGGACAGUAACAUCUGUGCAGGUGUUGACUUGAAAAAUAAAAUGUUGAUUGGCUAGGAAAAAAAAAA